rnacentral:sRNA from 1 species
UGUAUGUGCCUGUAGGACCUGUUAGGUCGC